rnacentral:rRNA from 1 species
GAUGAACGCUGGCGGCGUGCCUAAUACAUGCAAGUCGAACGCAUUGUGGUUGAAAUGAUAUGAAGAACUUGUUCAGAUUUGAUUUUCAACAUUGCAAUGAGUGGCGAACGGGUGAGUAACGCGUGGGAAACCUACCUCUUAGCAGGGGAUAACAUUUGGAAACAAAUGCUAAUACCGUAUAAUAAUUAAAACCGCAUGGUUUAGUUUAAAAGAUGGUCUUGCUAUCACUAAGAGAUGGUCCCGCGGUGUAUUAGUUAGUUGGUGAGGUAAUGGCUCACCAAGACAAUGAUACAUAGCCGAGUUGAGAGACUGACCGGCCACAAUGGGACUGAGACACGGCCCAUACUCCUACGGGAGGCAGCAGUAGGGAUCUUCCACAAUGGACGAAAGUACUGAUGAGCAACGCCGCGUGUG